AGUGGUAUUUCUGAAAUGUGGUUGAGAGAACAGCAGCAUCAGACUCCCGGGGGCAGCUUGUUGAAAAUGAAGGCUCCAGGGCCUUACCCGAAGCCUACAUGGGUUUCUUCCUGUCUGGCUGGUACCUACAGAGAAGUACAGCUCAAGACCUGGACAAGAUUCCUGGGUCAUCCUUUCUGUCUCCUUUGGGGCAAGAAGACAAAGCUUUAACUUCUUACCUUGACACUUGCAGAACACAAAGUCAUGGCUGGCCUGUAGUACACUGGCAAAGACAGGAGGACAGAACCACUUACCGAAAGCAAGAGCUGUGCCAGGCUUCGUUGACAGUCCUGUACCGUCUCUGGCUUGGAGCGACAUAGUCCCCACAGCCCCGACACUUCCAGGUAUCUUCACCUGCAUAAAAAACCACGGAGUUUAGAGGCCCAAAGUAGCAGGAGGUACAGGGACGGGAUUCCUAACGUGCAGAAUAAGACUGAGUUAACGGACUUACAAUGAAAGAGCUGGCCAGUGCUCUGAUAAACGCACAAUUCCCUCCUCCACAAGAUCUCUGGUAAGCAUUUAUCCAGCUUGCUCAUCUCCCCAGGGACAGGGAAUUCAUGGCCUCAAAAGUUGAGUCUCACUGCAUUUUUUAGAAAUGGUUCUGAUUGUUCCUUUUUCCACUGAAACAAAACCUGCCUUUUCCUAGAAUUUCAGCCCUUGCUUAUUAUAGCUCUGAGUAGAUGAAAUGAACAAGAUCCCUUUCUUUUCAGGGUCAGCGCUUCCUAUGACUAUUCCCAGACAGCACCCAGAAAAACUUCUCUGGGUUAAACAUGUUAUUGCCUUUUCCUUCUCCUCAAAAGCCCUGUUUGUACAGAUAUUCCAUCACUGCGUCCAGGAGCUCAUUCAUUCAACCAACAUCAUGGGUCCUCUUAUUGGACCCAUGGGUCCUCUCCAAGCUCUAUGUUGGAGACUGCUAGAUAACAUCAUCUCUGCUCUUCAAGGAGCAAAUCCACUGAAAAAGAAUCCUUCUUCCACGUUGUUAUUUUUCCCUUAGAUAUUAUUUCAGAGUUAGA